rnacentral:rRNA from 1 species
GACGAACGCUGGCGGCGUGCUUAACACAUGCAAGUCGAACGGAAAGGCCUUUUCGGAGGUACUCGAGUGGCGAACGGGUGAGUAACACGUGGGUGAUCUGCCCUGCACUCUGGGAUAAGCCUGGGAAACUGGGUCUAAUACCGGAUAGGACCGCACUUUAGUGUGUGUGGUGGAAAGUUUUUUCGGUGUAGGAUGAGCCCGCGGCCUAUCAGCUUGUUGGUGGGGUAAUGGCCUACCAAGGCGGCGACGGGUAGCCGGACUGAGAGGUUGGUCGGCCACAUUGGGACUGAGAUACGGCCCAGACUCCUACGGGAGGCAGCAGUGGGGAAUAUUGCACAAUGGGCGCAAGCCUGAUGCAGCGACGCCGCGUGGGGGAUGACGGCCUUCGGGUUGUAAACUCCUUUCGCCAGGGACGAAGCGUUUUGUGACGGUACCUGGAGAAGAAGCACCGGCUAACUACGUGCCAGCAGCCGCGGUAAUACGUAGGGUGCAAGCGUUGUCCGGAAUUACUGGGCGUAAAGAGCUCGUAGGUGGUUUGUCACGUCGUCUGUGAAAUUCCACAGCUUAACUGUGGGCGUGCAGGCGAUACGGGCUGACUUGAGUACUGUAGGGGUAACUGGAAUUCCUGGUGUAGCGGUGAAAUGCGCAGAUAUCAGGAGGAACACCGAUGGCGAAGGCAGGUUACUGGGCAGUUACUGACGCUGAGGAGCGAAGGCAUGGGUAGCAAACAGGAUUAGAUACCCUGGUAGUCCACGCCGUAAACGAUGAGUGCUAAGUGUUAGGGGGUUUCCGCCCCUUAGUGCUGCAGCUAACGCAUUAAGCACUCCGCCUGGGGAGUACGACCGCAAGGUUGAAACUCAAAGGAAUUGACGGGGACCCGCACAAGCGGUGGAGCAUGUGGUUUAAUUCGAAGCAACGCGAAGAACCUUACCAAAUCUUGACAUCCUCUGACCCCUCUAGAGAUAGAGUUUUCCCCUUCGGGGGACAGAGUGACAGGUGGUGCAUGGUUGUCGUCAGCUCGUGUCGUGAGAUGUUGGGUUAAGUCCCGCAACGAGCGCAACCCUUAAGCUUAGUUGCCAUCAUUAAGUUGGGCACUCUAAGUUGACUGCCGGUGACAAACCGGAGGAAGGUGGGGAUGACGUCAAAUCAUCAUGCCCCUUAUGAUUUGGGCUACACAUGUGCUACAAUGGACAAUACAAAGGGUAGCGAAACCGCGAGGUCAAGCAAAUCCCAUAAAGUUGUUCUCAGUUCGGAUUGUAGCCUGCAACUCGACUAUAUGAAGCUGGAAUCGCUAGUAAUCGUAGAUCAGCACGCUACGGUGAAUACGUUCCCGGGUCU